rnacentral:rRNA from 1 species
CCUACGUGAGGCAGCAGUGGGGAAUAUUGGGCAAUGGACGCAAGUCUGACCCAGCAACGCCGCGUGAAGGAAGAAGGCUUUCGGGUUGUAAACUUCUUUUAAGGGGGAAGCGCAGAAGACGGUACCCCUUGAAUAAGCCACGGCUAACUACGUGCCAGCAGCCGCGGUAAUACGUAGGUGGCAAGCGUUGUCCGGAUUUGCUGGGUGUAAAGGGCGUGCAGCCGGGAAGACAAGUCAAAUGUGAAAUCCCGCGGGUCAAACGCGGAACUUCAGUUGAAACUGUUUUUCUUGAGUAUCGGAGAGGUAUUCGGAAUUCCUGGUGUAGCGGUGAAAUGCGUAGAUAUUAGGAAGAACACCAGUGGCGAAGGCGGAUUACUGGACGGCAACUGACGGGGAGGCGCGAAAGCGUGGGGAGCAAACAGGAUUAGAUACCCGGGUAGUC